rnacentral:lncRNA from 1 species
UUUAUUGUAAUUUAUCUUCCAAACUCAUAUAAUUGAUAUUAAUAUUAUUAAUAAAAUUGAUAUUUUUGAUUCAUUAUAUACUGUAUCUUAUUAAUUUUAAGAUUAUAAUGAACCCUAUAGGUCUAGACAAUGAUUUUAGGACCGUGAUGAGAUCACGCUAGUGAGACCUAAAUCCUUGAUAGCCUUGAUCUAAAAUAUUUCUAGUCGUUGGUACAUUGAGUC